GGAGACAGAUCCUAGGAUUCGGGGACUUAGUUUGUGAAGGCUGGGAACAUGAACGGAAAGUGAGCAGAGAGACUGAGAGACAGACAAGAUAGACAAGACAGACAGAUUUACAGGAUUAAUGAAAAGUAGAAAGAUAACUCUAGUAAGGUAGUGACAGAGUGGUGGUGGCGGCGGCGGCGGCGGCGGCGGCGGAGGCGGCGGCGGCGGCGGAGGCGGCGGCAGCAGCAGUAAUAGAGAUUACCAUAUGGAUGAAAGUUAAGGGCAAGCAGAGGCAGUGUCACAAGAAGUGGUCUAGGACUCCAAACAUCAUCGUCUACCACAAGCUGUGUAUCAUUUUUUCCUUCAGGCCAUGGUUUUUCCAUUGAUGAAACAAAAAGGGGGAAAAAAAACCCAGCUGCAAAGGAGCCAGCAUGUGAUGUUAUCCCAAGCUCACAUAAAAGUGGAAGGGCAAAAUAAAACUACCGUCACACAAAGAUGGGGAAGAUUGCCACCCACACACCCUCUCCCAGCAGAACACUCUAGCAAGAAAGAAAAUGAUCCUAAAAUAUGGACAACAAGAGAGUGG
rnacentral:lncRNA from 1 species